rnacentral:sRNA from 1 species
UCGGGAGGAUGAGAAGCUCCGGGGGAGGAGGUUCGCGCCGAGCGAAGCGAGACAGCGUUGCGCAGCAACGACCCGAAGGGCGAGCCACAGCGUGGCGAGUAAUCCUCUAUCACCGACC